CCCCGGGCGGGGCGGGGGCACGGGGGGCCUACGGGAGGCAGCAGUAGGGAAUCUUCCACAAUGGACGAAAGUCUGAUGGAGCAACGCCGCGUGAGUGAAGAAGGUUUUCGGAUCGUAAAACUCUGUUGUUGGAGAAGAACGUAUUUGAUAGUAACUGAUCAGGUAGUGACGGUAUCCAACCAGAAAGCCACGCAA
rnacentral:rRNA from 1 species